AUGGCCUUGUCCGGCAGGUGCCGGCCCAUGAUGUACCUCGCCGAGAGCUGCGCCGCGACGACGAUGGCGCGGUCCUGGAUGCGCACGCCGUGGUGCCCCUCGUACUUCUCCUUGAGCCCUCGCAGGAUGCUGAUGGUGUCGGCGACGCUCGGCUCGGCCACGUACACCUGCUGGAACCGCCGCUCGAACGCGGCGUCCUUCUCGACGUACUUGCGGUACUCCUCCAGCGUGGUGGCGCCGAUGCACCGGAGCUGGCCCCUGGCGAGCAUCGGCUUGAACAGGUUGGCGGCGUCCAUGGACCCCUCCGUCCUCCCGGCGCCGAGGACGAGGUGUAUCUCGUCGAUGAAGAGGAUGACCUUGCCCUCGGCCUCCUCCACCUCCUUGAGCACGGCCUUGAGCCGCUCCUCGAACUCGCCGCGGUACUUGGCGCCGGCGACGAGCGCGCCCAUGUCGAGCGCGACGAGGCGGACGUCGAGCAGGUUGCUGGGCACGUCCCCGCGCACGACGCGCUGCGCGAGGCCCUCCACGACGGCCGUCUUGCCCACGCCGGGCUCGCCGAUGAGGACGGGGUUGUUCUUUGUGCGGCGGGAGAGGAUGCGCACGACGCGGCGGAUCUCCUCGUCGCGGCCGAUGACGGGGUCGAGCUUGCCGGCCACCUCGACGAGGUCGCGGCCGUACGUCUUGAGCGCCUGGAAGUUGGUGUCGCCGGAGGCGGACUCGACCUUGCGCGAGUUGUCCCCGCCGCGGAGCUUCUCGAGCUCGGCGCGCACCCGCGAGGCGGACACGCCGGCCUCCUUGAGGCAGUCGGCGAUCUGCGCGUCCUCGAGGAGGCCCAUGAGCAGCUGGUCGACGGCGAGGUGCGAGUCCCCGCGCUUCUUCUGCGCGGACUGCGCGCGCCGGAUGGCCUUGAUGAGCGCCGUGGAGGCCGGCACGGAGUCCGGCGGGGGGGACUGCGACGGCAGCUUCUUGAGCGCGCCGGAGAGCACGCGCUCGAACGAGUCCCCCGCGGACGCGUUCCCGCCGGACGCCCCCGCGACCGCCUGGCGCAGUAUGCCCGACUUGUCCGCCGCCAGCGCCGCCGCCAGGUGCAGCGGCGUGAUCUGCGCGUGGCCGGCCUCCGACGCCGCCUCGUGCGCCGCCACCAGCGCCUCGUUGGUCUUGUGCGUGAAGUUGUCCGGGUUCAUGGCUGCUGCUGCUUGCGCUCGCGCUCUACAAUGGAUCGAACUGACAAGAUUUUGGGUUGGAAGAUUGAUUGGGAUCGGCGAGUGUUUGUGGGAUUGCUCUGCUUCUGGAUUCUGA
rnacentral:rRNA from 1 species